AAGCACAUCAAAAUAUCAGUUCAAUAAAUGAUGUGGAUUUUUCUGCUUGGUCUCUCCUUUUUAGAACUUUGCAAGUGAUUAUUGGCUAUAUACAUUAAAAUACAAUUAAUUUAGUUUUCUUUUUUAAUUAUUGGCAAAUUGGUUAUGUAUAUAUAACGCCUACAGUAUGCUGUGCACACUUGUACAUCAUUUCAUAUGAGUUACAUUUAAAGAUGUAUACUGCCAUCUAGUGGUGGUUAUUGUGUAACUACACUCUUCUCUCACAUGUGAGGUUUCCAGUAGCAGAGCAGCAACACAGCACAGGUGCAGCUGGUCCUGCUGCUGUCUGAUCUGAGGUCAGAAAUGCUGGAGAUUAAACAGCACUAUAGAGACUGAGAGCACUGCAGUAAACACAAACUUCUGCACUAGUCAAGACUGAUUAUUACAUGAAUCAAAUCAAAUGUCAUGUAUGUAUUGUCGUUGUAAGUGUCUGUCUUUAUAACCAGAUGAAAGCUGUAAUUUAGAGCAGUAAGGUUUGGACUACUGAAGACAAACUUGAUGUGAGGGAUGAAUAACCAAAAAGAACUGAGUUUUCCACAGAGACAUUAAACAACAUUACUGAUACCAGGACCCAGAUCAUCACCAUUACACAAAGAGAUAAUUUAUGGACAUAUCAACAUAAUUCAAUAAUGAUGUUUUUAUUCAUAAUAUACACUGAUACAAUGUCAGAUUGACUACUUUUCUUCAUUACUUUAAUAUGUCUUCAUAAGGAAUUCAUCAGUGAUUAAAACCAAAUCAGUAUUUGUAGGA